rnacentral:lncRNA from 1 species
CCAGAAAAGUGCCUUAUACCAAGUAAUUUUUUUUUGACAAAUCUUAGCUGAAUUGAAAAUAAAUAUUGUAUUUAAUUGAUUUGCUCUCCUUCCUCUUAGCUAGCGAGUGCUGUUAUUUAUGCUUGGGGAUGGAAAAAUCUAAAUGACAUUUAAAGUCCAGGCAAUCUGAUUGCAUGCCAAGAGUCUACACAUUCUCAUUACUAGUAGAGAAACAAGGUAGCACAGCUAACUCAGUGAAUUAACCUAUGGAACUGCACUUAAAUUUAUUGCAAAUAUGUGCACUGUAGGAAAAUUAAGUUAAAUGUUGGCAAAGUCUUGAGAAAUAGUUCUCCUGGAAAUGUGAAAUGUUAAACAAUAAUAUCACUGUUUAGCUGUUAAAGACUGUACAGAACUGGUUUGACUGUUUUUGCUGAAAUGAAUCUGUUUAUUCUAAUUAUUUUGAAUGAAGAGAAUUACAUGAAUGGACUUCUCACUUAGACCAAAACAGAUAAAUGAGCUGUGCACAAAAAGAACCAAUGAAAGAUGGAGAAAACAGUAAUAACAGCUCAUUUUUGCAUAGUACCCUGUUCUCACAAAGAGUGUCAUCAAGCAUGGACAAGUUAGGUGUAGAAUGGAAAGUGGAGGGUCUACAAAUUUGCAAAACAUCUACAGUAGUGACAAAUGCUUUACUAGUUUGGGAGAUCUAUAUUUAAAUCACAAGAAAGUUGUGCAAUGGAAACUUUUUGUCACAGCAGAGACAUUAUUCCUAUGAUUCUAAGUCCAAGUCCAGUGACUUUUUUCUUUCCUUUUUCCCUCUUUCCCUCUUUCCUUCCUUUUCCUUCUUUUGUUUUUCCUGUCCCUGCCCUCCAUCCUUUUCCCCCCUUCAUUCCUCCCUUUCUUUUUCUUCCUUCCUUCCUUCUUUUCUUCUUUCCUUCCUCUCUCUGCCUUCCCUUCCUCCUUCUUCUAAGUGGGAAGGAAAUGUUGAUUUUUUAAAAAGCACUCUCGUUUACCAAUAAUACUACUAUCCUCAAAAAAUCUUCCCUGUAUCAAAAAAAAAUGCAGUUAAGCAAAUUGACACAUUGACUUUCUUUGACAUUUUAUGCCUUAUUUCACAUCUUUAGUCUACCACCUCUCUACUGAGAGAAAGAUAUAUUCAAUCAUCAGUCAUCUGAAACCAAGACUGGUCAUUGCAUUGAUCUAAAUUUUGAUGCUUUUUAGUGCCCAAUGCCCCUGACUUUCUACAUUAGAAAGCAUCAGGUGACUGCUAGUAGACCAUUAAGUGCCAAUUUUUUCCCCCUCCAGUAGCAGGAUACUCUUUUUUGAGGCCAUCAGGACUAAGGAAUUUGUCCGGGGUCUAAGUGUCUGAAGCUGGAUUUGAACUUGGGUACUACUGAUUCUGUAAUGCUGGAGAAACUGAGCAAGAUUUGAGAACAAUUUAAUAAUUUAUUUAAAAGGGAGAGAUUUACUGGGACCAAAUGGAUCCAUGGUUUGGUACCAGGGCUGAAUGAGACUAUCAUCUCAAA